CAGAGCAUCAUGCCCUUCGGGGUAGAUCUCCCACCCUAUGUAUUACAUACCUUUUGUUGCUUUGGCAGGCCGCUUCGGCCACCGGCUUCGGCUGGUGCGCGCCUGCCAGAGGACCCUAAACUCAGAAUGUUAGUGUUGUCCGAGUACUAUAUAAUAGUUA
rnacentral:misc_RNA from 1 species